CAGCCGCCGCGGUAACCCAGGAGCCACAAGUGGCAACCACCUUUAUUGGGCCUAAAGCGUCCGUAGCCGGCUUUGUAAAUUUACUGUGAAAUCGUUGCACUGGAUGUAACGGCGUGCAGAAAAGACUGCAAGGCUAGGGACCGGGAGGAGUCAGAGGUAUUUUGGGGGGAGCGGUAAAAUGCUAUAAUCCCCGAAGGACCACCUGUGGCGAAGGCGUCUGACUAGAACGGAUCCGACGGUGAGGGACGAAAGCUAGGGGAGCAAUCCGGAUUAGAUACCCGAGUAGUCCUAGCUGUAAACUCUGCGAGCUAGGUGUUGCACAAUCUUAGGGAUUGUGCGGUGUCGUAGCGAAGGCGAUAAGCUCGCCGCCUGGGGAGUACGGUCGCAAGGCUGAAACUUAAAGGAAUUGGCGGGGGAGCAC
rnacentral:rRNA from 1 species